rnacentral:rRNA from 1 species
ACACUCCUGCGGGAGGCAGCAGUGGGGAAUUUUGGACAAUGGGCGAAAGCCUGAUCCAGCAAUGCCGCGUGAGUGAAGAAGGCCUUCGGGUUGUAAAGCUCUUUUGUCAGGGAAGAAACGGUGAGAGCUAAUAUCUCUUGCUAAUGACGGUACCUGAAGAAUAAGCACCGGCUAACUACGUGCCAGCAGCCGCGGUAAUACGUAGGGUGCAAGCGUUAAUCGGAAUUACUGGGCGUAAAGCGUGCGCAGGCGGUUUUGUAAGUCUGAUGUGAAAUCCCCGGGCUCAACCUGGGAAUUGCAUUGGAGACUGCAAGGCUAGAAUCUGGCAGAGGGGGGUAGAAUUCCACGUGUAGCAGUGAAAUGCGUAGAUAUGUGGAGGAACACCGAUGGCGAAGGCAGCCCCCUGGGUCAAGAUUGACGCUCAUGCACGAAAGCGUGGGGAGCAAACAGGAUUAGAAACCCUUGUAGUCCCAGG